CGGGCGAUAGCUCAGGGGCAGAGCAGCGGAACCACCGUUGGUCACCGGUUCGAAUCCGGUUCGUCCAC
rnacentral:tRNA from 1 species